rnacentral:rRNA from 1 species
GACAGAGGAGCCAAGCGUUGUCCGGAUUGACUGGGCGUAAAGCGCACGCAGGCGGUCGCGCGCGUGGGGGGGGAAAUCUGGCCGCUUAACGGCCAGGCGCCAUCCCAUACGGCGCGACUGGAGUGAUGCAGAGGUCGAUGGAAUUGCCGGUGUAGUGGUGAAAUGCGUAGAGAUCGGCAGGAACACCCAGGGGGAAACCAGUCGACUGGGCAUCUACUGACGCUGAGGUGCGAGAGCGUGGGGAGCGAACCGG